rnacentral:rRNA from 1 species
GACGAACGCUGGCGGCGUGCUUAACACAUGCAAGUCGAGCGGAGCGGCGAACGGGUGAGUAACGCGAGAGUAACUGCCCCCCUCUCUGGGAUAACAGUUGGAAACGGCUGCUAAUACCGGAUAGUGGGGGAUGACUCGGGUCCUAUCAGCUUGUUGGUGGGGUAGUGGCCUACCAAGGGGAAGACGGGUAGCCGGCCUGAGAGGGGGGCCGGCCCCAUUGGGCUGAGGUAGGGAGCAAAAGCCUACGGGCGGCAACGGAGGGGAAUCUUGCACAACGGGGCAACCCCUGAUGCAGCAACGCCGCGUGCGUGAUGACGGCUUGCGGGUGGUAAACCGCUUUCAGCCAUGACGCGGUAGUGGCCGAAGAAGCACCGGCUAACUACGUGCCAGCAGCCGCGGUAAUAC